rnacentral:tRNA from 1 species
UGGGGUAUAGCUCAGUAGCAGAGCGCAUGCUUAGUGUGCACAAGAUCCUGGGUUCAACCCCCAGUACCUCUA